GGCGGCGCACCGCCAGCAGGUAGAGCAGCGGAGGUCAAAACAGCAGCGACGGACUCUCCGGCUGCUUCGCGCCCGUGCCGCCCGAUAUAUCUUCAUUGAUAGACAAAUACCAGCAGAGAAAAGAACAAGAACGUCGGGAAUGCACGAUCCACGUGUAACAUUCCAUGGUCCAUUGUAGAUUUUAUAUACUAUAUAGUACGCUAAAAUUCUUGUAAUCGACGAAACCGUUCAGAACAAAUUGACCUGUACUAGGUAGGGUUUUGAUGAAAUAUGCUUUUUGCGUCUUAAUAUUGUAAUAGGUAUAUAAAAAACUUAUUGAUUAAUUUAAAACAUUAAUACAUUGGUGAAGCUUGAAACAGAUUAUCAGAUACGUUUAAUUACUGCCUAUUACUCAAAAUAAAAUAUCAAAGAGUGAUCGAAAUGACUUGCAAAACGCAUUUAAUAUCUUCAAAUCGCCUUAGAUAGUAUGUUUCAAUCUUUGCUAUUAAAAUGCAGACAUUAUAUCGGUG
rnacentral:misc_RNA from 1 species